AUCUUUCCUCGGUAGAGCUUUUCCUUGCAAACCCAGAACUUCCAAUAUGGGUGGAUUAAUGUUCCUCCAGCCAACAUCAGUGUUGAUUCCUGGGUUACCUGCUGAGGUGAAUUUCAUAUUAAGUUUUGACCUCUUUCCUAGGAAACAGGACCAGAACCUGGAGGUUUCCAAGGACUCUGCUACAGAUACGAGCUAUAAAUGUAUAAAGGAAGAAUGAGAACCAGCAAUAGCUCUUUCUCUUAAACUUAGACUUCAUCUCACCAUUAUAAAUAUAAUCUAGAAACCAUUCUAAAACCAAUCAAAUGAACAAAUAAAAUGUUAGAUAAUAAAAUUUGGAAAACCAGCACAUGGAAUGUUGUAUAGACUAUCAAAUAAGCCAAUAGUCUGUUGCAGGUAAUGGUUUCCUCUUCCUUAUCCCCAUAACAAGGCUCUGCUUCUAUAAACUAGCAGUUAAACAAACAAGAUCUUAAUUUUGAAGCAUGAAGAAACCUGAAUUGAGUUUCUCCUAUUUAAGUCAAAAAUUAAAUGGUCAUUUGUCUUUAAUGCUCUCAAUCAUUUGAGACAUUCUUUGUCUAACAGUUUUUUAUUUUCGUAAUCAACAGACAAAAUAAUGUAAAGAUGAGAGAUCUGUUCUAGCUCACUGUUGUUGUAAUUGAAAUGGAGUGUGCUCACUCCAGCAUGUUACUUAUAUCACCUAUAAAUCUAUUUCCAACUAUGUUAUGGGGGAUAAGUUACUCAUAUUAUAACUUAUUUCAACAGGACAAUUAUUUGUCUCUGCUUAAAAUAAGUGUGGUUUUAUUUAUUGGUUCACUAUGAAAUGAUAGCUUUUAUAAAAGAAAAGUUGAAUUAUGUGAUAUUUUUGCAGCAAUGUAUAUAAUUGCUGAAAAUACUUAUUGAAGAAGUUCUUGCAGAAAAAAAUAUCCAUUUGGGCUUUUGGUAAUACUGAUGCUCUCUCAAUGAUUUGGCCAUAAAGAAACCAAGCCUCUCUUCUGAUAAAUGUGGUGGGUGGGCUUGAUUGGUUUUUUUUUUUUGGUUGAUUUGUUCCUUUUAGUGAAUUUUAGAAUCUAGGAAUAAUUCAUCCUUGACACUCGGAGAAAUACAACUAUGUUUUCUUGACUUACAAAUUUCUGUUCUCUGAUGUCUUAUAAUGAUGAAAAGCUUUUACUUGCUUACUAUCCAACUGAAAGUAAGCACUAAAAUAAUAAAUUCCAGACUUCUGCGGUUUCUUUCUUUUAAUUGAGAUUUUGGCACGUAAAAAUGGUGAAAUCCAUGUGUUCAAAAUUUCUCUUGAUGACACAUGGAAAAAUAAACUAUUCCAAUGGCAGUAUCCACCAUAUUAAUGUACUUCUUUGGUUAUGCCGAAGAGAAAGAGUAGAGUAUGUCCAACACUUAAAAAAAAAAAAAAAAAAGGGCUUGAUUGAAAGGAUGUUUGUCUGAGGGUAGAAUUGAGAAACUUAGAUGAAAGCACCUAGUGAGCUGUACUACCUUUAGAUUUAUGCAGAUGGUGAGUGGGUUUAUUUCAGACUGAAGUUUUGCCCUCAGAUGCCAAAAAUUCUCAUCCUGUUUUUGGCACCUAAGAGACUUUUUUUUUUUGGAUAUGGCCCUUAUGGAAGGUAUAUAAAAUUCCCACUCAUGUUGCGUCACAAAAUACUGCACUGGACUUUAACCUUUUUCUACUUUCCACAGAAUGUAAACAAUUUCACUGAUUUAUUGGCAUAUUACAAUUCCUUCUUGUUGGCAGACAGCGGCUUUCCACCAUUUGUUGUCUUAAUGCACUUAGAUCAAAUGUUUUGGAGUGAGGUGCUGCUCAGUGUGAGUAGGAGCAUCACAAGAUGGUUCAUACUGUGCAUAAAUUUUCAGAAUAUUGUGAAAAAUCAUAUAAGCAACACCACAGUUUAAAGAAAAAAAUAGCAUGGAAAUGUUCUGUAUCUAUGAACUCUUUUUCUUACGAAGGAGUCACUGUCUACCUACUUAGGAAUUUUUUAUUUAGUCUCAAGCUUUUGUUUUCUUCUUUUCCAGUGCAGGUGUUUGGGAAAUACCUUUGUGCACACAAUAACCAUUAGUAAGAAAUGUAAUAAGAGAUUAAAUGUGAAAAUAUACGUGUGUUUUCUAUCCUGGUUUAAGUUUCCUGUGUCUCUAGAGAGUCGCUUACAUCUGACCAGGAAGGUUUAUUUGUCUUGCACCUUGUCUCCAUACUCCACUCACUUCACGUUUGUAAUCGGUGCGUAUUUAGUGGGCAAUCUACUUUGUUGCUAAUCAACUGACAAAGAAGGCUACAUACUGAGAAUUAUUUUCCCCUUCAGAACUGUUAUUUAGAUGAAAAUGGAUUUAUCAUCAUCAGCUUUUUGGUAACACUAAAAUAGUAAAUUAUAAGUGUAUGCUUCAUAACUGUGCUUUUAAUAUCUCUUCAGAAUCUUCUUAAUUUAAUCCAAUAUUAAUCUGUCUCAGCGGUGUAUUUCUUCUAGCACCUAUUUACAUGUUUCCACCUUGUAUUACCUACCAAUUCCAUUCUGUGAGUAGUAGAUACUUAACAAGUUGGUACUUUUGAGUGGCUCAUCAGGAAGUGCAUACCAUCAAUAAUGUGAUCACAUCUCCGUAAAGCACAGUAUUGCUUCCUUCAGUGUUCCAUAAUUUGGAUGCAUUUAGAUAUUGAUAUACUUGCUCAUCUUAAAGUAUGAAAAUAAUAAACACUGUAACAUCUUAAGCUGAUAGUCUGUGAACCUGAAAAUAAAAAG